rnacentral:ncRNA from 1 species
AUAAAGAUUAUGAAAGAGUGACAGUAGUUAUCCAUGGUUACAUUAAGAGAGCAGUUCGGUUGGUGAAAGGGCUGCAGUACAUGGAUUAAUGAAGUACCCUCUGGAGUUGCCUGCUGAAGGUGACAGUAUUUACUGUACUGCUAGGCAGAGCCGGAAGCCUACCGUUAUCCUGGCGGUGUAUAAUGAGGUACACUUAUUGCUAUGUGUACGAAUUAAGGUGGUACCACGGGAGCUUUCUCGUCCUUAGG